rnacentral:hammerhead_ribozyme from 1 species
AUCCGGCUGAUGAGUCCCGAAUAGGACAAAACGCGCAUCUUGGAU